rnacentral:rRNA from 1 species
AUUCUGGCUCAGGAUGAACGCUGGCGGCGUGCUUAACACAUGCAAGUCGAACGGGAUCCAUCAGGCUUUGCUUGGUGGUGAGAGUGGCGAACGGGUGAGUAAUGCGUGACCGACCUGCCCCAUACACCGGAAUAGCUCCUGGAAACGGGUGGUAAUGCCGGAUGCUCCGACUCCUCGCAUGGGGUGUCGGGAAAGAUUUCAUCGGUAUGGGAUGGGGUCGCGUCCUAUCAGGUAGUCGGCGGGGUAACGGCCCACCGAGCCUACGACGGGUAGCCGGCCUGAGAGGGCGACCGGCCACAUUGGGACUGAGAUACGGCCCAGACUCCUACGGGAGGCAGCAGUGGGGAAUAUUGCACAAUGGGCGCAAGCCUGAUGCAGCGACGCCGCGUGAGGGAUGGAGGCCUUCGGGUUGUAAACCUCUUUUAUCGGGGAGCAAGCGAGAGUGAGUUUACCCGUUGAAUAAGCACCGGCUAACUACGUGCCAGCAGCCGCGGUAAUACGUAGGGUGCAAGCGUUAUCCGGAAUUAUUGGGCGUAAAGGGCUCGUAGGCGGUUCGUCGCGUCCGGUGUGAAAGUCCAUCGCUUAACGGUGGAUCUGCGCCGGGUACGGGCGGGCUGGAGUGCGGUAGGGGAGACUGGAAUUCCCGGUGUAACGGUGGAAUGUGUAGAUAUCGGGAAGAACACCAAUGGCGAAGGCAGGUCUCUGGGCCGUUACUGACGCUGAGGAGCGAAAGCGUGGGGAGCGAACAGGAUUAGAUACCCUGGUAGUCCACGCCGUAAACGGUGGAUGCUGGAUGUGGGGCCCGUUCCACGGGUUCCGUGUCGGAGCUAACGCGUUAAGCAUCCCGCCUGGGGAGUACGGCCGCAAGGCUAAAACUCAAAGAAAUUGACGGGGGCCCGCACAAGCGGCGGAGCAUGCGGAUUAAUUCGAUGCAACGCGAAGAACCUUACCUGGGCUUGACAUGUUCCCGACGACGCCAGAGAUGGCGUUUCCCUUCGGGGCGGGUUCACAGGUGGUGCAUGGUCGUCGUCAGCUCGUGUCGUGAGAUGUUGGGUUAAGUCCCGCAACGAGCGCAACCCU